AUUUUUUUUUCCUUUUUUUUU
rnacentral:sRNA from 1 species